rnacentral:rRNA from 1 species
UACGGAGGGUGCGAGCGUUAAUCGGAAUUACUGGGCGUAAAGCGCACGUAGGCGGUUGGGUAAGUCGGAUGUGAAAGCCCUGGGCUUAACCUGGGAACUGCAUUCGAUACUGCCCGGCUAGGGUAUGGGAGAGGGAAGCGGAAUUUCCGGUGUAGCGGUGAAAUGCGUAGAUAUCGGAAGGAACACCAAUGGCGAAGGCAGCUUCCGGGCCCAAUACUGACGGUCAGGUGCGGAAGCGUGGGGAUCAAACAGG